rnacentral:rRNA from 1 species
UACGUAGGGUGCGAGCGUUAAUCGGAAUUACUGGGCGUAAAGCGUGCGCAGGCGGCGCGUUAAGACAGGUGUGAAAGCCCCGAGCUUAACUUGGGAAUUGCGCUUGUGACUGGCGUGCUGGAGUGUGGCAGAGGGAGGUGGAAUUCCACGUGUAGCAGUGAAAUUCGUAGAUAUUGGGAAGAACACCGGUGGCGAAGGCGGCUCUCUGGACCGAGACUGACGCUGAGGCGCGAAAGCGUGGGGGAGCAAACAGGG